ACUCAAAGGAAUUGACGGGGGCCCGCACAAGCAGCGGAGCGUGUGGUUUAAUUCGACGCAACACGCAGAACCUUACCCAGGCUUGACAUGCAGCUGCACGCGUGAGAAAUCACGUUCCUUCGAGGGUGCUGCACCGGUGCUGCAUGGCUGUCGUCAGCUCGUGUCGUGAGAUGUUGGGUUAAGUCCCGCAACGAGCGCAACCCUUGCCCCGUGUUAUUUGUGUCACGGGGGACUGCCGCUGGGUUCCAGCGGAGGAAGGCGGGGACGAUGUCAAGUCCGCAUGGCCCCUACGCCUGGGGCGACACACACGCUACAAUGGCCGGCGGAACGCGCUGCGACCCUGCAAGGGGGAGCCAAUCGCCAAGGUCGGUCUCAGUUCAGAUUGGGGGCUGCAACUCGCCCCCAUGAAGGCGGAGUUGCUAGUAACCGCGUGUCAGCAUAGCGCGGUGAAUACGUACCCGGGCCUUGUACACACCGCCCGU
rnacentral:rRNA from 1 species